rnacentral:misc_RNA from 1 species
UACAACAAAUCCCAUCUUCAGAUUAAAUGCAAAGAAAAAGCCUUUGCUUGCAAAAAUAAGAAGAAAUUUCAUCAGAAGAAGUAUAUGCACAAGCCAAAGAAAGGCCCCAAAAAGAAAGCCUUUCCAUUCUUCAAAAAGAAACCCGUUCAAGGCAAAACAAAAUCAAACAGAUGUUUUAUCUAUGGAAAGAAAGGCCAUUUCUCUAAAUUAUGUCCUCAAAAUCCAAAGAAUGCAGCAAAAAUGAUUCAACAAAUUCAUCAAAGCACUCAUUUAAAUUUGGAAGACGCAGAUAUUGAAUCCCUAUUCUCAGAGCAAGAUGAAGCUGACAAAGAAACUAUCUUUGCU